CUUGGUGCAUGAGUAUGUUCAAUGAUUACAUUUCAAUACAGAAACUACGUUAGCUGAUUUGAUUUUGGGACUUAAGACCAUGACAUCCUAAAGGAUCUUCUAGGUGAUGGAACAUUCACAGUUGACCAGGAAAAAAUUGAGAUAAAAGAGAUUUUAGCAGUCAUGUGUGGUUUAACUGAAGGAGGUCUUAGAUAUGUAAUGCUUUUGAUGAUGAUGUAACUGCAUUCACUCUCAAACAAAGAAAGCUUUAAAUAUUAGACCAGAAGCUAAGUUAAAGGGAAGGGUCAAAUUGGUUGACCGAAAGGAACUUAAGCACGAGGUACCAGAUGAUUUUUGUUGAAGAAAGAAUUUGCAAGGUUUCAACAACACACAUCCAAAGUCACAGAUGUUGAGGAAUUUGCAAACAGUGUGAGUGAAGAAAGCCUAGAAAAGCUGGAGUAUCUUAAUGCAGAUUUUAACGAAACUGUCAAGACUCUUUCAUGCAGUUCCAGUGAAGACUCACCAAAGGAACCCUUGAGCUGUUGUUACAAGUUGUGUCUGGUGGCAUUUGUCGCUCAUGGGCGAAACUUAUAAGCGAUGAAGAAUCAGUGGUUAAGAAACUUGCAUACGAUGACAACUUACCAACUGAUGAAGAGAAAAAGAACUGGCAAAUGAAGCAAAUCACCUCUACUGAAGAUUAAUGAAGAAGACUCGCCAAUGAAAAAGAGAUGUCACAUGUCAGCCUUGUUAGAAGAAUAAUUAUAAGCUAGAUCAUUGUUAUUAUUUUAUUUAUUUUAUUUAUUUUACUAACAUAAGUUAUAUGUGGCGGUUAUUGUCACUAAUGUCCGUAUAUAUAUAUAUGUAAUACACAUUUGAUAUUUAUCAAUUCAC